rnacentral:rRNA from 1 species
UACGUAGGGGGCAAGCGUUGUCCGGAUUUAUUGGGCGUAAAGAGCGUGUAGGCGGCCAGGUAGGUCAGCUGUGAAAACUCGAGGCUCAACCUCGAGACGCCGGUUGAAACCAUCUGGCUAGAGUCCGGAAGAGGAGAGUGGAAUUCCUGGUGUAGCGGUGGAAUGCGUAGAGAUCCGGAAGAACACCAGUGGCGAAGGCGGUCUGCUGGGCAGUUGCUGACACUGAGGCGCGACAGCGUGGGGAGCAAACAGG